UUCCAUAUCUUGUCGUUGAACCUAGUUGUACUAUGCUCUGAUACUAUUAGGUCUCUUUACACUAUUAUUUUAAUUAUCGAAAUUUUGUAGACACCUUAUAUGUUUUAGACGUAUGGCGGGUCUGGGCACGUGCCGGGUAGGCUUCCGCUAAGCCCCGGGGCGUGACAGAUGUGGUGGUACUUUUGGAACUUAUAUGUAUAGCAGACUUUUUCUGUAUAUAUAUGUUUCAGUUUUAGCAUCUUUGUACUUCUUGUUGUAGCUAUUAUCUGUUUGCUGGUACAGCUAUCGUUUCGUAUAUAUAAAAUUUUUUUAUGUAUACGAUAAGUCUAUUGGCGAGAGCAGGAAACGUAGUAAUUCGGGACGUGACAUUCUUAAUUUUUUUAACUUAUAGUAAAAUAAUAUGAAAAGUGAUGAAAUUUGAAUUAU
rnacentral:lncRNA from 1 species